rnacentral:rRNA from 1 species
UACGUAGGCAGCAAGCGUUGUUCGGAGUUACUGGGCGUAAAGGGUGCGUAGGUGGCUCUAUAAGUAUGGUGUGAAAUCUCCCGGCUUAACUGGGAGGGUGCGCCGUAGACUGUGGGGCUAGAGUGUGGGAGAGGAAAGUGGAAUUCCUGGUGUAGCGGUGAAAUGCGUAGAUAUCAGGAGGAACACCGGUGGUGUAAACGGCUUUCUGGGCCAUAACUGACACUGAGGCACGAAAGCGUGGGUAGCAAACAGG